AAAAAUACCAGGAAAGCUUCGCUUGUGUUGAAUUGAACCAUUUGGUUGUAAAUUCUGAUGUCCAUUAUAUGCACAUUUGUACGAAGGAUUGUUCUUUGAAGACAGACCAAAAGCAUGGUGUUGUUGAGUGAAGGAAGCGCGUGAUAAGAGGCAGGAAUAAACGGAAAUGAAGUAUAACCAAACUUGGAACUUUUGCAAGCAACGGGAGGUUUUCUGUCUCUUUUUUUUCUUCCAUCAUUAGAAUCUUGCUUAAAAUGCUCUGAGGACAAAGCAAAAUUUUAAGUGGGGGGUGGGGUUGUAGCCUUGCAUGUUCCAUGUCCUUUGGGAAAUUUUCAUUUUACCAAAACUGCCUAAAUUUAAAAAAUUUUUAAAUUCUCUAUUCUUAGGUCAAGUAAAAUGCGUUGGGCUCCCUCAGUAUCAGAACUUGUGUGGGGAACUCUUCACUUUUGGCCUAACCAAAAUAAGACCUGCCUUACCCGUAGGGCUCAGCCGGUUAGGCUAAAUAGAAUGCGUUGGGCUCCCUCAGUAUCAGAGCUUGUGUGGGGAACUCUUCACUUUUGGCCUAACAAAAACCUGACCUACCUAGCCCUUAGAGAUCAGCCGGUUAGGUCAAGUAAAAUGCGUUGGGCUCCCUCAGUAUCAGAACUUGUGUGGGGAACUCUUCACUUUUGGCCUAACCAAAACCUGACCUACCUAGCCCUUAGAGUUCAACCAGUUAGGUCAAGUAAGAUGCGUUGGGCUCCCUCAGUAUCAGAACUUGUGUGGGGAACUCUUCACUUUUGGCCUAACCAAAACCAGACUUGCCUUGCCCGUAGAGCCCAGUCGGUUAGGCCAAAUAGAAUGCGUUGGGCUCCCUUAGUAUCAGAACUUGUGUGGGGAACUCUUCACUUUUGGCCUAACCAAAACCAGACCUGCCUUGCCCUUAGAGUUCAGCCGGUUAGGUCAAGUAGAAUGCGUUGGGCUCCCUCAGUAUCAGAACUUGUGUGGGGAACUCUUCACUUUUGGCCUAACCAAAACCAGACCUGCCUUACCCUUGCCCUUAGUGUUCAGCCGGUUAGGUCAAGUAGAAUGCGUUGGGCUCCCUCAGUAUCAGAACUUGUGUGGGGAACUCUUCACUUUUGGCCUAACCAAAACCAGACCUGCCUUACCCUUGCCCUUAGUGUUCAGCCGGUUAGGUCAAGUAGAAUGCGUUGGGCUCCCUCAGUAUCAGAACUUGUGUGGGGAACUCUUCACUUUUGGCCUAACCAAAACCUGACCUACCUAGCCCUUAGAGUUCAGCCGGUUAGGUCAAGUAGAAUGCGUUGGGCUCCCUCAGUAUCAGAACUUGUGUGGGGAACUCUUCACUUUUGGCUUAACCAAAACCUGACCUGCCUUGCCCUUAGUGUUCAGCCGGUUAGGUCAAGUAGAAUGCGUUGGGCUCCCUCAGUAUCAGAGCUUGUGUGGGGAACUCUUCACUUUUGGCCUAACCAAAACCUGACCUACCUAGCUCUUAGAGUUCAACCAGUUAGGUCAAGUAAGAUGCGUUGGGCUCCCUCAGUAUCAGAACUUGUGUGGGGAACUCUUCACUUUUGGCCUAACCAAAACCAGACCUGCCUUGCCCCUAGAGUUGAGCCGGUUAGGUCAAGUAGAAUGUGUUGGGCUCCCUCAGUAUUAGAACUUGUGUGGGGAAUUCUCACUUUUGGCCUAACUAAAACUAGACCUGCUUUGCCCUUAGAGUUCAGCCGGUUAGGUCAAGUAGAAUGCAUUGGUUCCCUCAGUAUGAGAACUUGUGUGGGGAACUCUUCACUUAUGGCUUAACCAAAACCAGAUUUUCCUAGCCUUUAAAGUUUGGUUGGUUAGGUGAAGUAAAAUGCUUGCAAUUCUCGUGGAAUGUUCUUAAAAAAAAAAUUUAAGUUUGCUGAGUUUGAGAUUGGGUAUGGAAAUAACCGUCCUUUUUAACUUAAAAUUUUGAUGAAAUUGUAUUUUCUUUUAUUGGGUCAGAUUUUUCUUUCGAAAUUUGGAAAUUUUCUUAAUUCAUGUUUCUGUAAUGUAGAAUGGGUGUGAAACAAUGUUAGGGUCUGAAAUCUUGGAAGAAUGUUGGGAUGAGGAUUUAUAAAUUAAUUCCUCUUUCUUAGAAGGAUCUGAAUCUAUAUAAAGGUUUUUUUCUAUGUUUCCAUUCAUUUGUGGUAAUCUUGUAGGUUCUUUAAUUCUCGGUGAAAGUUCUAGGAUACUUUGAGGUGCUCUAUCUUGAAAUGCAAAGGACUCCACUUGAGUUACUCUUCACCUUAGAGUCAUGCAUAUCUCAAGUCUCUCAAAAGUUUUCCUCUUUCGUUUUAGUUGUACAUAAGAGAAGGGAUAGAGAUUUCUGAAGGUAGAACAAUCAAUAAGUAGAAGAAGAUGAAGAGAAAGGUUAGUGAAAGUAGAAAGAACAUAAAGGUUAACUAGUUUUGCUAGGUUUAUCUUCUUCACUGCUUUUCAAUCUGUGUGUGUGAAGAAUUUUAUAAAAUGAACUAUCUUUCAACUUCAUUUAUGACUUCUUUUGCAUGUAGAAAUUUAAAGGAUAUGCUUCAACAAUGAGCCUAACGGUUACAUCAGAAAAUAGGUAUUUUGUUUUGAUUUUUUUUUUCUAGCCAACUUGGUUAGCCUAUCGAAGCAUUGCUAGAGGUAUGAAUCUUGGCAACAUAGGUUUCUGUUUUCUCAAUUUCUUCUCUAACGAAGUUAUGCCUAAUAUCUAUUUGUUUUAUUAUGUUGUGAAAUUGGUAAUUCUUAGAUAUAUUUUGCUAUAGUUAUCACAAUAUAUUUUGAUUUUUGCUUCUUUGAUUUUGAAAAUAUUCAAUAACUCUUUUUCUCUCAAGGUUUGAAAUAUUCACAUCACAUUUGACUAAAGAGCCUACAUGAAUAUUGAUUGAAAUAUUAGGAAGCUUUUAUUUUUCUUUCGUGCUUCCAUUUUAGCAUUGAUUAACAAAUUUGCAUGGGAGGGUAUUGUGAGCUCUAUUUGAACAAAAAUGUGAUUGAUCACUUCUGCUUUGCUUGUUUUAUGAAGUUUUCUUUCUUAGCUUGAACGUUGUUUCAAAUUUUCAAGUUUUAAAACAUGAUAUAACAAAAGGAAACAUUAACAAGCAAGAAAAGCAGUACACACAUACAUAUAUAUGUGAAUAUGUGAGUCUCAAUUCAUGUAAUUUCGCUGUUAAAUUUUCAAGAAUGAGCUGACUCAAUUGAAUCCCAAUUUUGUUGGUUCCAAUUGCACGAUUGAGUUUGAUUUCUAAAAGAUGUAGGCUAAGAAAAGGAGGUGAGCUAAAAUGAAAUGGAAGAACAAUAACAAAGGGAGCAUUGGACUUGUUGAGAAAUGGGAGACCCCAUGGCUCCCAUUUGUGAAACUUUUGCAAUCGAUGUUAAUGUCGAUCUUGACAGGUAAUGUUAACUUGUUUAAGUUGAGAGGUUGGAAUACUUCAUACAAAUAAGUUUGAUAUAGUCCCUGAUUUAAUGUUGGUUCAGUAGAGAUAUAAAUAUAAGAUCUGAUCUUGGUUCUUUUUGCAUGCAAUUCUUUUGGAAUGUUUUGGAAAAGAAAUUUAAGUUUGUUGAAUUUGAGAUUGGGUGUGCAAAUAAUGUCUUUUUUACAUGAAAUUUUUGAUGAAAUGCAUUUCUCUUUUGUUUAAGUCAAAUUCUUUUUUUGAAUCUUGGAAAUUUUUUUGAUUCAUGUUUCUUUAAUGUUGAAUGGUUUGAAACAAAGUUGGAGGUUGAAAUCUUGGAGGAAUGUUGGGAUGAGGAUUUAGGAAUUAAUUCCUCUUUCUUAGAAGAAUCUGAAUCUAUACAAAGGUCUUCUUCUUAGUUUUCAAUCAUCUGAGGUAAUCUUGUAGGUUCUUUAAUUCUUGAUGGAAAUUCUAAGAUACUCUGAGGUAAUUCUUGCUUUCUUAAUAGGUUUUGUUGUUUGUUUUCAUGUCAUUGUUGAAAAUCUUGAGGUUGUUCUUGAUUGUUCCCAUGCUUGGUUUAUUGCAAGAACUUCUUGAUUGUUUCUUGGUUGAUUAUCCACCAUUCUUCUUAUUGGAUCUAAAACCCAAAUGUCCAUACACAAAGUAAAAUCUUC